rnacentral:rRNA from 1 species
UACAGGGGGGGCAAGCGUUGUUCGGAAUUACUGGGCGUAAAGGGCUCGUAGGCGGCCAACUAAGUCACACGUGAAAUCCCCAGCUCAACCUGGGAACUGCGUGUGAUACUGGAUGGCUUGAAUUCGGGAGAGGGAUGCAGAAUUCCAGGUGUAGCGGUGAAAUGCGUAGAUAUCUGGAGGAAUACCGGUGGCGAAGACGGCAUCCUGGACCGACAUUGACGCUGAUGAGCGAAAGCUAGGGGAGCAAACGGG